AUCUACAACCCAGCGGAUCAUAAGGCACAUGCCUGUGUUUUCUUUGACCCUCAGAGGAACAAAAGUGUUUUUAUUUGACCCUCAGGGUUUUAAAACUUUAUACCAACAUUUAAAAAUUGGCUACCAUCUAUAUGGAAAAAAAGGCAGUGUGUGCUUGUGUAUGUGUAUGUUUGUAGGGUGUGUGUGUGUGUGCGUGUAAGGCAGCACUGCAGAAGAACCCGGCCACAGUGAUGGCCUCUUCAAAUAGGGAAUCGGGGAGCAGGAAUGGGUGAGAGACUUGUUGC
rnacentral:lncRNA from 1 species